rnacentral:rRNA from 1 species
UACAGAGGGUGCAAGCGUUAAUCGGAAUUACUGGGCGUAAAGCGUGCGUAGACGGUUACAUAAGUCGGAUGUGAAAGCCCCGAGCUCAACUUGGGAAUGGCAUUGGAAACUGGCGGGCUGGAGUGUGGCAGAGGGGGGUGGAAUUCCACGUGUAGCAGUGAAAUGCGUAGAGAUGUGGAGGAACACCGAUGGCGAAGGCAGCCCCCUGGGCCAACACUGACGCUCAGGCACGAAAGCGUGGGGAGCAAACAGG